rnacentral:rRNA from 1 species
AGUGAACGCUGGCGGUAGGCCUAACACAUGCAAGCCGAACGGCAGCACAGUAAGAGCUUGCUCUUACGGGUGGCGAGUGGCGGACGGGUGAGGAAUACAUCGGAAUCUACUUUUUCGUGGGGGAUAACGUAGGGAAACUUACGCUAAUACCGCAUACGACCUACGGGUGAAAGCAGGGGAUCUUCGGACCUUGCGCGAUUGAAUGAGCCGAUGUCGGAUUAGCUAGUUGGCGGGGUAAAGGCCCACCAAGGCGACGAUCCGUAGCUGGUCUGAGAGGAUGAUCAGCCACACUGGAACUGAGACACGGUCCAGACUCCUACGGGAGGCAGCAGUGGGGAAUCUUGGACAAUGGGCGCAAGCCUGAUCCAGCCAUACCGCGUGGGUGAAGAAGGCCUUCGGGUUGUAAAGCCCUUUUGUUGGGAAAGAAAAGCAGCAGGUUAAUACCCCGCUGUUCUGACGGUACCCAAAGAAUAAGCACCGGCUAACUUCGUG